rnacentral:rRNA from 1 species
UACGUAGGGUGCAAGCGUUGUCCGGAAUUAUUGGGCGUAAAGAGCUCGUAGGCGGUCUGUCGCGUCGGCUGUGAAAACCCGGAGCUCAACUCCGGGCCUGCAGUCGAUACGGGCAGACCGGAGUUCGGCAGGGGAGACUGGAAUUCCUGGUGUAGCGGUGAAAUGCGCAGAUAUCAGGAGGAACACCGGUGGCGAAGGCAGGUCUCUGGGCCACUACUGACGCUGAGAAGCGAAAGCGUGGGGAGCGAACAGG